UCCUGCUCCAACAAAAGAAGCUCCCCUGAGGAAAGCCGCAUCCUACCACAGCACCACAACGCGGCCUUAUGCGUGUGCUGAAUCUUGUUUCAUAGAAACGGCGUCUUUGCCCUGAGGAUGGAUCUCCAUCGCGUCAACUUUGCUCAUGGACCAGGUGUGCCACAAACCUGGUCCUAGAUGUAUACUUUUUAUACAAAGGU